rnacentral:rRNA from 1 species
UCGUCAGCUCGUGUCGUGGGAUGUUGGGUUAAGUCCGUAACGAGCGCAACCCUUGUCCUUAGUUACCACGCACGUUAUGGUGGGCACUCUAAGGAGACUGCCGGUGACAACCGGAGGAAGGUGGGGAUGACGUCAAGUCAUCAUGGCCCUUACGGCCUGGGCUACACACGUGCUACAAUGGUCGGUACAAAGGGUUGCCAAGCCGCGAGGUGGAGCUAAUCCCAUAAAACCGAUCGUAGUCCGGAUCGCAGUCUGCAACUCGACUGCGUGAAGUCGGAAUCGCUAGUAAUCGUGAAUCAGAAUGUCACGGUGAAUACGUUCCCGGGCCUU